CCUACGGGAGGCAGCAGUGGGGAAUAUUGCACAAUGGGCGAAAGCCUGAUGCAGCGACGCCGCGUGAGGGAUGACGGCCUUCGGGUUGUAAACCUCUUUCAGCAGGGAAGAAGCGCAAGUGACGGUACCUGCAGAAGAAGCACCGGCUAACUACGUGCCAGCAGCCGCGGUAAUACGUAGGGUGCGAGCGUUGUCCGGAAUUAUUGGGCGUAAAGAGCUCGUAGGCGGUCUGUCACGUCGGAUGUGAAAGCCCGGGGCUUAACCCCGGGUCUGCAUUCGAUACGGGCAGACUAGAGUGUGGUAGGGGAGAUCGGAAUUCCUGGUGUAGCGGUGAAAUGCGCAGAUAUCAGGAGGAACACCGGUGGCGAAGGCGGAUCUCUGGGCCAUUACUGACGCUGAGGAGCGAAAGCGUGGGGAGCGAACAGGAUUAGAUACCCUGGUAGUCCACGCCGUAAACGUUGGGAACUAGGUGUUGGCGACAUUCCACGUCGUCGGUGCCGCAGCUAACGCAUUAAGUUCCCCGCCUGGGGAGUACGGCCGCAAGGCUAAAACUCAAAUGAAUUGACGG
rnacentral:rRNA from 1 species